rnacentral:rRNA from 1 species
GAUGAACGCUGGCGGCGUGCCUUAGGCAUGCAAGUCGAACGGGAUAGUAGCAAUACUAUCCAGUGGCAGACGGGUGAGUAACGCGUAGGAAUCUACCCCUGGGUGGAGCAUAGCCCCGAGAAAUCGGGGGUAAUUCUCCAUAGUUCUCGUAAGAGUAAAGGACUUAACGGUCCGCCGAGGGAGGAGCCUGCGUCCUAUCAGCUAGUUGGUGAGGUAAAAGCUUACCAAGGCGAUGACGGGUAGCUGGACUGAGAGGUCGAUCAGCCACAACUGCACUGAGACACGGGCAGUACACCUACGGGUGGCAGCAACCAGGAAUAUUGCGCAAUGGACGAAAGUCUGACGCAGCGACGCCGCGUGGAGGAUGAAGGCCCUCGGGUUGUAAACUCCUUUUGCCAAGCCGUUCACAGCUUGGAGAAUAAGCCCCUACUAACUACGUGCCAGAAGUCUCGGUAAUACGUAGGGGGCAAGCGUUAUCCGGAUUUACUGGGCGUAAAGUGUGCGUAGGCGCCCCAAUAAGUCGUGCUUUAAAUACUAAGGCUUACCCUUAGAGCUGAGCACGAUACUGCUGGGGUUGAGGAUUGACAGGGCAGCUGGAACAGUUAGUGUAGCAGUGAAAUGCGUUGAUAUUAACUGGAACACCAAGGGCGAAGGCAGGCUGCUGGGUUUUUCCUGACGCUGAGGCACGAAAGCUAGGGUAGCGAAACAGAUUAGAUACCUGUGUAGUCCUAGCCGUAAACGAUGUCCGCUAACUCUCUGUUUCACGGUGCUUAGAGAACUGAAAUAUAUUAUUUUAGUUCUUAGUACCGUGAAGCAGGGGGUUCAAGCUAACGCGUUAAGCGGACCGCCUGGGGAGUACGACCGCAAGGUUAAAACUCAAAGGAAUUGACGGGGACCCGCACAACUGGUGGAGCGUGUGGUUUAAUUCGAGACAAAGCGAAAAACCUUACCAGGGCUUGACAUGAUACCGUUUUAUACCUAUGGAAACACUGGUAGAUCCGCAAGGAUGGUAUUACAGGUGCUGCAUGGCUGUCGUCAGCUCGUGUCGUGAGAUGUUCCCUUAAGUGGGGAAACGAGCGCAACCCCCGUGAAAUGUUAAAUAUUCAUUUCAGACGGUCCCGAUCAUAUCGGGAAGGAAGGAGGGGAAGACGUCAAGUCAGCACGGCCCUUAUGCCCUGGGUUACACACACCCUACAAUGGCGAACAACAAAGAGCAGCAAGCCGGUGACGGCAAGCAAAUCUCAGAAAUUUCGCCUCAGUUCAGAUUGAAGGCUGCAACCCGCCUUCAUGAAGGAGGAAUCAGUAGUAAUCGCAGAUCAGAAGGCUGCGGUGAAUACGUUCUCGGGUCUUGUACACACCGCCCGUCAAGGCAGCAAAGUCGGGAGUGGAUGAAGC